GACGAACGCUGGCGGCGUGCCUAAUACAUGCAAGUCGAGCGCAGGAAACUGACGGAACUCUUCGGAGGGAAGGCAGUGGAAUGAGCGGCGGACGGGUGAGUAACACGUAAGGAACCUGCCUCAAGGAUUGGGAUAACUCCGAGAAAUCGGAGCUAAUGCCGGAUAGUUCAACGGACCGCAUGGUCCGCUGAUGAAAGGCGCUCCGGCGUCACCUUGAGCUGACCUUGCGGUGCAUUAGCUAGUUGGUGGGGUAACGGCCCACCAAGGCGACGAUGCAUAGCCGACCUGAGAGAGUGAUCGGCCACACUGGGACUGAGACACGGCCCAGACUCCUACGGGAGGCAGCAGUAGGGAAUCUUCCACAAUGGACGAAAGUCUGAUGGAGCAACGCCGCGUGAGUGAUGAAGGUUUUCGGAUCGUAAAACUCUGUUGUAAGGGAAGAACACGUACGAGAGGGAAUGCUCGUACCUUGACGGUACCUUACGAGAAAGCCACGGCUAACUACGUGCCAGCCGCCGCCGUAAAAC
rnacentral:rRNA from 1 species